ensembl:lncRNA
UUCCUAUCAUGUUGAAUUUCUCGUCUUCACUGGCAGAGGUGGAACCUGCCGGUUUUUGUUCUUGAAUCCCCUUCGGUGGGUGGGCCUGGCUACUAGAGAUUAUAAAAACAGAUAACAAAAAUAUACUCAGAAAAUAAAACUUAGGAAGCUGGCUGUGGCUUAAUGCCUGCCUUUGUUGGGAUUCGACGUGUUAGCUUUCCGGUACCCGGAGGCAGGCCUGAGAUGGCCAAGGUCACCUCCCAACUUCCCAUCCUCCUUGGUGGAGGGAGUGAGAUCUGGGAGGCCUCGCUGGGCAGUGCUCGAGUUAAACGCCGUGAAGCGGUUAGUACAGUGCCUAACCUGCAUGAGUGCUUCAAAAAGGCUGCCCAGGUCGGGGCUUGGAUCUGGGUAAGCGAGUUACCGAACCUCCCUGCGAAUUGGGUGUCUUCAUCCCUGCUGUGCAUUCUGUGCCAGGUGGUGGUGUGGAUGAAGUGAGGAGCCAGCAUGUAACGGGCUCAGAGGAAGACUCCCAAGGCUGCCAGAGCAGGCUUCGGCCACAGUGUGGACCAGCCUGGCUGUGUCUGCUGAGCAGAGGCCUGCUGUGUGUGGAGCGUUUGUAACCCCUCAACUAUUGGAGCUGCUGGAAACGUACCUGAGAAUGUGAUAGGAAGAGGUUACUCACAUUGGGUAUGAGUCUUGCUGAAAGAAGUUGAUAAUCUAAAGAUGGGGAAGGAUUUUCAAAGGUGCCUUGGAAAUAGAGAAUGAAGGAGACCGCAGAGGUCCGACUGCUUAGUCCGAGAACUACUGAGUCUGGGAGUCUGUAGCAAAAUGGCGCCAGGCUUCCAAAGCACCCACUGGUCAAGGGCAGGGCAGCUGUCAGAAAGCAGAGCUAGAUUGGUGUGGGCAGUGAAGAGACCUCUUCAUGAUAUGAACAACAGCAAGGCAUUGUAGUGUGUGCCUGUCAUCCCAGCACUCUGGGAGGCUGAGGCAGGGCCAUUGCAAGUUCGAGCCAGCCUGGGCAGCUUAGCGAUUUACUAAGAUCGCAUUCCUGUGUCUGUCACACUAAUCUCUCUCCCUAGUUUGGGUGUGUACUUGAAACAUCUUGCUGAGUUGCCCUCCAGCAGCCCCGGUGAUCUGUAAUCCCGCUGGAGAGGAUGGGCCAGUUUCCUUGGGCCCUUGCCAACGCCGAGCUUUAUCAAGCUUUCUGAUUUUUGCUGAGCUGAUAGUUGGAAGUCCAGUUUGGAUUUCUUUAUGGAGUGAAGUUGAGCACGUUUUCAUCUCUGUGAGCCAUUUGCAGGUCAUUGUGUAGAAGCCAUCUGUUCAUGUCCUUUACCCAUCAGUCAUAUUUGCUCACUACCUUUGGUUUUUGUAUCGCAUUUCACAGAAGAGCAGUUUUGUAGGCAGGAGCAUUGAGAAGGCAAAGCAGACGGGCGAUUGAGAGUCCUGUUGGGCCUGUGCUUGCAGACCCGAAGACUUCAUAGAUUUGCUGCCUGAGGCGCUUCCCUGUGGCUCGGAAGCAUAGCUUAGCAGAUGUGGGCCCUCCAUCUCCUGCACUCCCAGCAGUCAGUGCUCGGCAAAUCAGGAUUUGGAUUUGCGGUAGACUGGAACUAGAACAGCUCUUGUUCCAGAGCACAGGAGUCUGAUCGAGGGGCACUGUCACUUCCUGACUCACGGUUGGUAAGCAGAGGAGACACAGGAGGGCACACAGCUCUUGGUUCGCUUUCUGCUUUCACUCCAAGACCGGUGUGCUGAACUGUGAAGUCAGCAUGGCAUUCACUGGCUUGCUCGGCCCAGGUAAGGCUGGGGGGCUGUGCGGGGAUAGAGCAGUACACACCACACCCCCUUCCCCACAUGCACCAGUGCCUUUGCCAGAGUCAGGAGGGAAAGCUCAGAGAGGGUGGUUGUGUCCAUCUCAGGCUCCCUAAGUCCCCUCCCAAGACACGCCAGUGAGGACAUAGGAAGGGACAGUUGCCACGGUUGGUAGGCUGCUGUCAGCGUUGGAGGAGGUGAUAAAUAAGAAAUGUGACUCAUCCUGACAAGUGUCGGGCGCACAGGGGAGGGGUGCAGGCUUACACCUUGCUGUAGCACUGCUCUCGAGAUGCUGCUGACUUAGCACAGCCAGGAACUGACAGGCCCUGCCAUUGUCCCUCAGUGUGAAGACAUGCCUGGCCCAAGGCUGUGGGGACAGAAGGGCCUCUUAGGGCUUAGAAACACGGUCAGUCAGGUCGGGUGGGACAGAGCCGGGGUUUAAUUCAAGGACGUAACAGCAGUAAAGAAGGAAACUUGUAUCUUUAGCAAGUUAGUAGGAUGUUUAUAAUUUAUGGGUAUAGGAACGAAAUAACACUUCAUCCAGAAUCUUAUGAGGAGUUUGAAAAAAAUGAGUGCCAGGUCGGGGAUUUAGCUAAGUGGCACUGUGCAUGCCUCACAAGUGCAAGGUCCUGAGUUUGAUCCCCGGUACUAAAAAAAAAUAUGAGUUCCCUCUUUGAGGUUAAAAUGAGAUUUUAAAAACGAAUAAUGGUUUUUACACCAAGACCAGUAAGAACAGGACUUUGAUGUGGCAGGAGGAGUUUCAGGUUCUGCUCUUCUCAGGCUUGCACAGUGCUUGUCUCGUUCUGGGAUUCCCAUGUUAGAAGGAGUGUAGAGAAGUUGGAGAAAGUUUGGAGAAGUAUGUGCAGCAAUACUAAAAUUUUGGGAAGUAAAAAUAAUUUUGAUACACGUAUUUAAAUAAAACAGGGAGUUAGGAGAAAUAUCCCCGUGCUUAGAGGUUUAGCUACCAAGGCAAAGGGCUAGAUUUUAAUAUGUAAAUCUGACAAAAAAGGAAAUUAUAGUCAAGAUUAGAAACUCAAGUGACUGGUGAGUAAACAGACAUUGUUAGAAUAAGAAAUCAAGAAAUUAUAAGCAGUCUUAAUUAUAUGCCAACUGUUUAAGCUUUACUUAAACUGAAAUUGGAAAAUGAAAGCUAUUUGACAAUGUAUGGGUACAAAUCCAGAGGAAAAAAAACCCCAAACGAAACAUUAUAUAAAUGCUCUUAACAAUGUAGACACUUACAUCUAUUAAAUGCGACGUAUGUUUUAUACUUGUAGACCUCUGCAGUCAAGUCUAAUUAAAGGCUACACAAAAUAUUUAAUGUGAUUGGUUUCAACAGUUUAAAUUAAACCCACAGUAUUGAUGUGAAACUGAAAAGCCCGUAAGCCGUCAGCCACAGCACAUGUAGAGGAAUGACUCCCAGGAGACGUCAUUUGGUUAACAGAAAAAAGAGAGGCAGUUCUGGAGUGCUGCUUAUGUUCAGAUCUGAGAUGAAGAAUGAGGUGUUCUUCCUAGCACCGAGGUGUACCAUCUAUCCCUGACCUCCCCUCUUGUGGAGAAAAAGAAUUUAGAACAAAGUCACUUCAUCUUGUUGUUUUUUCCCCUUUUGAGAUAAAAAAGUAAACUACAUAAUUUGCUACCUUUUCUGACUUCUGAGUGGAGUGAGGGUUAUUUUGAUUACAUAAUAUAGUUUCUCGCCUGUUGAAAAUUUGUGUGGUAUUUUUAGACCUUUGAAAGGGCAGGCAAAAGGGCCUUUUCUUACAGUUUUCAGAAUUUUUCCAUAUCCUGUUUGAUGUGUGGUUAGAUCAGCUGAUGAGUCAUGUGAUGUUUUGCUGUUUCAAAUGACAGAAAUAGAGAUUCAAAAUAACCACACAGAGGAGUAUCUCAAAUGUUUACCAAAUACACUGCUCAAAACAUGCUUUUCUACGGUUCAGGUGCUUUUUAUAGGAGAGCCCUGUGUGCAGUGGCCGUAUGUAGAAGGUGUGCAGCAGACCUCUCCGGCCCACAGUCACUGCAUCUUCCAGAGUCCUGCCACAGACUGCAGUGCAGUUCUGACUGCUAGCAAAGGUGGGCACAGAACCAGAACAUAAAAGACCCCUUUUCCUGCACUGUGCACUGGUUUCGUGGAUGAAGACUCAUUGUGAGCUUGGGAGGCAGCUUAACUCCAGUACCAG